rnacentral:lncRNA from 1 species
GAUUCGACGCACGUGGAGGCCAAUGUGAGGGGAAAAGGCGUCGCGAGCUAAAGAAGUAGCCGGUUUGAGGUGAGUAAUUGAUGUAAAUGAUGUCUUGAGGGUUUGAAACCCCGGAAUUUCACAUCGUAACGCUAUAUUGAGGUGACUUGCACGCCGAUAAUGGGCGUGGGGUAGAGCACCAUUGGGGAUUGUUACUUAGUCCAUCCCGAGAGAUGUUUUUACCUUGUUUUCUGCUUGAACUAAAUUGAAAAUCAUCCUUACUUGGAUUUAAUUGUUACAUUUGGGCUUCCUGCCAAUUAUUUGAAUCCUUCAGGGAUUGACAUCACUGUUUUCGCAUACAUGCAUAUCAUUUGAUCUCAAUCCAAGGUUUUAAAUACUGUUUUGCAAACUCAGCCAUCUUUCUAAGAUUUGAAAACUUAAAUGAUAUUUCUAAAUGAUAUUUCGGGCUGAGAACUACUGUUUUACAAAUGCCCAAAGGGCUUAUUAUAAUUUCUGGACUGAGUAUGGAUCGGGCUGCGCACCGCAGCAGUGAUUUGAAACAAUGGUAACAAUGACGCUGUAUGAUGUGACUUGAAACAGUGGUAACAAUGACACUAUGUGAUAUAAAUUGGUCAGGUAACAAUGACUGACCAGGACUUGAUUGAUGCCACGAGAUGGCUUGUUAUUGCGCUUGGGCUAUAGGAGCCCUUCCGGAGUCUGUACACACCCCCAGUGAGCGUCGUCGACGAUAAAUAAAUAUGGAUGACUCGGGCUGCACGCCGCAGUGGGUACCAGAGGGUACCGUCAUAUGCAUUGCAUUGCACUCAUGCAUUUAUUCCUCAUCUGCAUUAUCCUCCAUAAUAAUUAUGUGCUCUUAUUUCAUUGACUGGUUGCUUCAUACUGUUCUGAGCCUGAGGGGCUGAUACUGUUCUGAGAUACUGAGCUCGAGGGGCUGAUACUGUUCUGAGAUACUGAGCCUGAUGGGCAGACUUCUACUUAUUAUUUUGAUACUGAGCCCGAGAGGCAGAUUUCUACUUGUUAUUUUGAUAUUGAGCCCGAGAGACAGAUUUCUACUCGUCAUUUUACUGCCAAAUUAUCUUUUUUUUUUACUGGUUUAAAAGAAAUUUCACAUAAUGUUUCACUGAAUUGUUAUUUAAAUGAUUUCACUGCUUCUGUAUAGAAUGUUGUGUGCCUUAACGUGUUUUCUUACAUUCAGUUAUUAUUUAUAUUUAUUACUCAUUGGGUCGGAGUACUCACAUUACUCCCUGCACUAUGUGUGCAGGUACAGGUAUUCCUGAGGCAUAGAGCGAGUUUUCUGCUGUUCAGUUUUUAUUGGAGUUAUCGAGGUAGCUGCAUGGCAUUCGCAGACCCAUUUUCUCCCUUAUCUUCUAUAUUUAUGAUAUCUUCAGAUGUCGUUCCUAAUUCCAUACUUUGUAGAAUUUUAGUAAACUCUGUAGUAGCUCAUGACUUGUGACACCCCGGUUAGGGCUGAGUUGGGUUGGAUUUCCGUAUUUUAUAUAUACUUUCCGCUAUUAGAUAUUAUUAAACCAUGUUUAUACUAUAAUUGUGUUAAUU